CGUGAGGGAAAGUUGAAAAGUACUUUGAAGAGAGAGUAAACAGUACGUGAAACCGCAUGCAGGUAAACGGGUGGCGUCAAGCUGCAAGCCCAGAGGAUUCAGCUGGCUAGGAUGUUGUGUAUGCGCUUGCGCAUCUAUCAGUCAGAAUAAGAUGUGAUAGUCCACUGGUAAACGGUGGGCCCGGCCGCAAGGUUGGGAUAUGUGUACCGGGCGGAAGCCGGAGCAUGCUAUUCGUCUGUUGGGCUGUCUAGUCAGUGCACUUUCUCUGUGGUGAACACCACGACCGGUGGAAUUGCCAGUCUGCUGUAGUCAAGUCGUAUUCAGUCGGUUCUUGUAGCCAACUGGGUGCGAUCACAGGCAAACUCAGUAAACGGCGUAGGGGUGUUUCGGCAUCCUUGCGUGUUAUCGGCUGCUGGUUGUCAACGGGCCUGCCUGAUGAUUGUUGUAACCGUCAUUGGGUGGUCUGGUGGACUAUGGUGGUAAGAAUAACUGUGCAAGGCAUCGGAGUUCUCGGCCUCAAAUGCAUCCUGCAUACACGUUACAAGUGGAGUGGGGUGCCAUUGCAGCCUGCCUGUUGUUGGGUCUGAUUGUCGUGUCGCCUGCGCAAAGUGGGCCCGGCAGUGGCCUGAUGCGGGAUGGGUUGUGGAUGGUGCUUCCUGUGUAGGGUGCGGUGGGUCAAAUAGUCAGUGGUGUAGUGGUAGACGAGCUACCCGACCCGUCUUGAAA
rnacentral:rRNA from 1 species